UUGAGAUUACAGAUAACAAAUGAUUCUAUUUAGGGCUAAAGAUAAAUACAGCAGUCCUCCGCACUCACAUUUUCUGAGGUUUCACUUACCCAUGGUCAACCAUAAUUGAAAAUAUUAAAUGAAAAGUUGCAUAAAUAAACAAUUCAUAACUUUUAAAUUGUGUGCUGUUCUGUGUAAUGCAAUGAAAUCUCACACUAUCCCAUUGUUAAGGCUUUUUCACUCCCGUAGUUCGGUGAGCAGGAGGAAGUAGCACCCAACGGCUUCUUCUCUACCGUUGUUUGGGGAGUUGGAGGGAGUGUUACAGCUCUUUUAACUCCCACCACCCGCUGCUCAGCAAGCAGGAGCACUACACCUCUUUUGCUCCCGCAAUUUCGGGGAGUUCCAGGUUCCUGUCCUGUAACCAGAAGGAAUAAGGAAUUCCUGCAAAAAGUAAUAAACUAAAAGAAAACCUAAAGGGUAUAAAUGUAAAAUUAAGUCCUUUUACUCUCUCCAGUUGAACUACCUAGAGAAAACCAUUUUAAAUCACAAUUUCAGAAGAUUUUAAAAAUUCAACUCUACCUAAAGACAUCAUAAAAUGGCUCAUUAUUCCAUCAUCCAGGCUCCCCUGUUUCUCAGGCCUCCAGACUGAAGCUGAAUUAUACCACCAGCUCUCCUCAGUCUCCAGUUUGCAGACAACAGAUCAUGGGACUUCUCAGCCUCCAUAAUCACAGGAGUCAAUUCCUCAUAAUAAAUCUGUCUGCCCCCUGCUGUGUGUGUGUGUGUGUGUGUGUGUGUGUGGUGUGUGUGUGCUCUGUGUGUGUGUGUGUGUUUCAGGUGCGUCUGAUCCCAAUACCUAUGCUUUUAACCACUAUAAAUGGAGAAACAUUACAACAGGAAACCAAGAGUUGAGAAAGAAUUGUAGUGAGGAGGUGGAUAAAUGGGGAUGUUUCCCUACCUUGAACUCAAACCAGUUAGAUAGUUGCUACUUGGGAAGCUAAUCCACUUAUAUUAAAUAUAUAUAAUAUAGAUGACUAUAACAGUUUUGUCAAAAGAGCAAAACUGGGUUAUAUACACCUUUGACAAAAAUUAGCAUGAGUGUAGUUACUUCCUGAAUACAUCUUUCUUUUCAUUUAGUUGCUUGGUAAGCAGAUACUGCCCCAGCUUAUGUGUUCUCCAAACCACAGAUACACAUAUCUGGAUUUCCAGGAGGUUUCAUGAAGUGCCUCUUAAUAGAUAUGAGAUGAGAAAAACACCCACCCCAAUACACACACACACACACACACACACACACAGCCCACUAGCACCUUGGGGAAGAGGAAGAACAUAAAGCCUACCAUGUAUGAAGAAAUCUAUCUCCCACUGCCUAGCCUCUCCAACUUUAAUCCCUUUAUUGCUUUUGGAUGGGUGAGGAUGUGUGAGGAAACAAGUGGACAACACUAGUUUGGGGCUAUUUCAUUUGUAAGUCAUGUCUCAGUAUUCUGUCUCACUUUCUCAUGUGUAGGAGUAAAUAGAAUCUGUCUUCUUGGGAAUUUGCCUAAACUCAAGAUUACAAGAGGUCUGUGUUAACAUUUCUUGAACCCAAAUGUGGCACAUAUAUACCAUGGAAUACUAUGCAGCCAUAAAAAAGGGUGAGUUCAUGUCCUUUGCAGGGACAUGGAUGAAGCUGGAAACCAUCAUUCUCAGCAAACUAACACAGGAACAGAAAACCAAACACCGCAUGUUCUCACUCAUAAGUGGGAGCUUAACAAAGAGAACACAUGGACACAGGGAGGGGAAUAUCACACAUCAGGGCCUGUCAGGCGGUGAGGGGUUAGGGGAAGGAUAGCAUUAGGUUAAAUACCUAAUACAGAUGACAGGUUGAUAGGUGCAGCAAACCACCAUGGCGUGUGUAUACCUAUGUAACAAACCUGCACAUUCUACACAUGUAUCCCAGAACUUAAAGUAUAUUUAAAACAAAACAAAACAAAACAAAAAAAUAACAUGAAAUUGGAUCUCACCAAAGAAAAAAAAAAGAAAUGCAAAGUCAAGGGCCCCAUUCAAGACCUACUGAAUCAAAAAUUAAAAGUGGAGCCCAUUAAUCUCUGUUUUAAGAAGCCCUCCAGGAGAUUCUGAAACAAGCUAAAGUUUGUCACUAUUUUACAGCAUAUAAUAGAUUUUUAAUUGCAUUAUUCAAAAUCCUUUACUCUUUCUCU
rnacentral:lncRNA from 1 species